ensembl:lncRNA
AUUCUCGAUGGGACCAUGUCUGUACCAGCCUCCUUCUGGGCACAGCUGCAAAGAACCUGAGCUGGGGGUUCAAGUACAGCUUGGUGUCUAGUGCCCGAAUCCUCCCUGAAGACUGGCGUGGCCUUGAGUCAUCGUCUGACAAGAUCUGCUAAUGGGGUCAUUGCAGACAGCCACAAACCCCCAACGUCUGAGCGGGCUGGGGCUGCUGCCAAGGGGUUUCGCCUGCCUCCACCUCCCGCCUUCUCCGGUUCCCCAUCCAAGCUGAUGCUUGUAAAGGAAACAUCUUUUCAGGCGAGGGGACUGUGUGUUUGGUUUGUCUUUGUUGCCUGGAAACUGUUGACAUCCCGAGACAUUCUGUUGCCUGCGCUGGCUCAUGAAAAAUUGAUGACUUUUUUUCUCUGUCAACAAACUCGCAGCCUGUUCACCUUGACUGGGAAGGGGCGGGAAGCUUGCUCCCUGCUCCGCUCCGCAGCUGUUUGCUUUCUUUCGAGCUGUUGAGUUUGCUUUCCUUAGAGGUGGGGGUGGGGCCAGAGACAGUGGGGCCAGCUGAGUGUGGCCGUGUGUAGGCGACUGCUGCUAAGGUGGAGAGGGCUGGCCUUGCUUCCCUCGAGUGCUCCUUCAGUUCCACCAAGUGCCUUUCCCAGCUGAUCUGAAGCACCUUUCCCUUCCGAGGCAUCCCCUGGGCAUCCCCUGCCCAGAGGCCUUCCCUGGCCUCGCCAGCCCUGGAUCCUCCUUGCCCUCUGGGGUCAGCCUGCCAGGCACGACUACUGUCCGUUUCCAUUCCUCUCGGUCUGGUUUCUCCUCUUGGCAGCAGAAUAGCCUUGCUGCCCAUCUCCCCAGACCAGCAGCACGUUAGGUUUAGGAGGGAUCUCAGAGAGCAUUUGUGGAAGAGGAAGCUCAGAGUGGCAGGGUGAUGUGACCAUCUAGUUAGCUUUUGGCCUCGUGUACAGCAUUCACUGGUGGUCUCCCCCACCAGGGAACGAACCUGUGCCCCCAGCACUGGAAGUGUUUUUCCUGUGCGUGUGUGCUCAGCCAUGUCUGACUCCUUGUGACCCGAGGAGUCUUAACCACUGGACCACCAUGGAAGUCCCAAAGA